GACGAACGCUGGCGGCGUGCUUAACACAUGCAAGUCGAACGGAAAGGCCCUGCUUUUGUGGGGUGCUCGAAUGGCGAACGGGUGAGUAACACGUGAGUAACCUGCCCUUGACUUUGGGAUAACUUCAGGAAACUGGGGCUAAUACCGGAUAGGAGCUCCUGCUGCAUGGUGGGGGUUGGAAAGUUUCGGCGGUUGGGGAUGGACUCGCGGCUUAUCAGCUUGUUGGUGGGGUAGUGGCUUACCAAGGCUUUGACGGGUAGCCGGCCUGAGAGGGUGACCGGCCACACUGGGACUGAGAUACGGCCCAGACUCCUACGGGAGGCAGCAGUGGGGAAUAUUGCACAAUGGGCGGAAGCCUGACGCAGCAACGCCGCGUGCGGGAUGACGGCCUUCGGGUUGUAAACCGCUUUCGCCUGUGACGAAGCGUGAGUGACGGUAAUGGGUAAAGAAGCACCGGCUAACUACGUG
rnacentral:rRNA from 1 species